ACGANGUACGGGAAGGAUGAGAAGCUUCGACCAAGGUUCGAUUCGAGCGCAGCGAGAAAGCGUUGCCGCAGGCAACGACCCGAAGGGCGAAGCGCGCAGCGCUGAGUCAUCCUUCCCCCACCACCA
rnacentral:sRNA from 1 species